UACACAUGCAGUCGAACGGUAACAGGACUUCGGUCGCUGACGAGUGGCGCACGGGUGAGUAACGCGUGGGUUACCUGCCCAUAAGUGGGGAACAACUUGGAGAAAUCCAAGCUAAUACCGCAUAAUACCUUCGGGUUAAAGAGGGGGAUCUUCGGACCUCUCGCUUAUGGAUGGUCCCGCGUCUGAUUAGCUAGUUGGUAGGGUAAUGGCCUACCAAGGCAAUGAUCAGUAGCUGGUCUGAGAGGAUGAUCAGUCACACUGGAACUGAGACACGGUCCAGACUCCUACGGGAGGCAGCAGUGGGGAAUUUUGCACAAUGGGCGAAAGCCUGAUGCAGCGACGCCGCGUGCGGGAAGAAGGCCUUCGGGUUGUAAACCGCUUUCAACAGGGAAGAAGGAAUGAGAGCUAAUACCUCUCUGCCUUGACGGUACCUGUAGAAGAAGCACCGGCUAAUUUCGUGCCAGCAGCCGCGGUAAUACGAAAGGUGCAAGCGUUGUUCGGAUUUACUGGGCGUAAAGAGAUCGUAGGUGGCUUGUUAAGUCGGAUGUGAAAUCCCGGGGCUCAACCCCGGAACUGCAUCCGAUACUGGCAGGCUUGAGUUUGGGAGGGGUAAGCGGAAUUCCGUGUGUAGCAGUGAAAUGCGUAGAUAUACGGAGGAACACCUGAGGCGAAAGCGGCUUACUGGACCAAUACUGACACUGAGGAUCGAAAGCGUGGGUAGCAAACAGGAUUAGAUACCCUGGUAGUCCACGCCCUAAACGAUGUCAACUAGCCGUUGCGGGUAUCGACCCCUGCAGUGGCGCAGCUAACGCGA
rnacentral:rRNA from 1 species